GCCAGGUUCAGUGGCGUACACCUGUAAUCCCUGCAACUCAGGAGGCUGAGGCAGGAGGAUCUCAAGUUCAAGGCCACCCUUGGCAACUAGGAGAACUUUUUUCAA
rnacentral:sRNA from 1 species